UAAUGCAAUGGUGCAGAACAGAGAGACUCCAACAGAGGAUGCGGUGGAGAGCGUAGAGCGACCAGAGGAUGCAAUGGUGGAAAAUGUAGAGCGACUAAUCGAUGAUGCAACAGUGGAGAACAGAGAGCAACCCUGUCCUGAUUCUGUCAUCCCAGAGCAUUUUGGUGCUUUUGACAAUUCAGUGUCAUUGUACUCCGGCUUUGACAACAGCACCCUCACCUCUCCACAGCACCCUACUAUGUCCCAGACUUGUGACUGUACCAUACAAACAACUUUGAAUGUACCAGAUUUUCCAAGUGAUCCUGCAGAUGGCCCCUCUGCAUCACACCAACCUGAGGAUGACUCCUGCCAGGACAUUCUGACCAGACAAGCUACUGCUAUUGUGUUGACUGCAAGAGAAAGACACCAUCUUUCACAGCUGGUGUGAAUGAUGUUGUUGCGGCAAUGCAACAGUACCAAGCUUUGUUGGUAACCAAUCUGAGGAGUCAGCUACAAAGAGUAUUCCAACAACAUCAGGGAAGUGAACUUGAAAAGGAGGCUCUGGCAGUAUUUGACCGGUUGGAGGAUCCGUUUGCUUCUGUUUCAACAACGUACAGGUAGGACUGUGUGAUUAAGGACUAUUUCCAUUUUGUAGAAUCAGAGGAAGUUACUGUUGGUAUACUGCUUGCUUUCUAAAAAAAGGAGCAAAAAGAGUCCUCUCUACCAUACCCAAAUGUUUUCAGUAUGUUCCUCUGAUCAAAAGUCUGGAGCAGUUAUUGCCCCAUCCAAAAGUCCUGGCAAUGAUGGAUGAGCUACAGAAAUACAGAAUGGGAAUGGUGAAUGUGAAAUAUUUGGAGCAUUAGUUUCAAUAUGUGGGGACACUUUAGCUCAGCAUGAGCUUUGUGGUUUUAAAGAGGGUGUUGGUUUUGCUUUCAAGAAAUGUAGGCAGUGUGAAUGUACAUUUGAGGACAUGCAAUUGUAUUUUGAUGAGGAAGAAAGAACAAUACAGAGACAUAUGCGGCAUGAUGAUAUUGAGAAUGCCAAUACUGAGUAUCUCAGAAACAGUUUAAAAACUACAUUUGGGAUCAACAGAAGGAGUAAACUGGUAGAAUUCCCGGCUUUUAACUUGAUCCAACAAACACCCCAAGACAUCAUGCACGUAAUUUUGGAAGGCAUUGCCCCAUUAGAAAUAAAAUGUGUGAUGAAACACUUAAUACUUUUAGGACAACUUGACUUGGAUGUUCUCAACAGUGCAUUACUUGCAUUUCCCACUUGAUGUCAGAGAUAAACCAAGCCCUAUAAGCUACAACACAUUAGCUUCCAGUGACAAUAAAUUAAAGCAGUCCUCAGGCCAAAUGCUGGUUCUACUUUAAAAUUCUGCCAUUUCUGAUUGAUGCAGUUAAAGGUAAUGAGUAUCACACAGUCAUUCUUGAGCUGAUAGAGAUAGUUCAAAUUUUGUUUGCUCCUGUUAUUGGUCUACAGACUAUCAACAAAUUGAAAACACUCAUUGAACAGCACCUAC